UACGAAGGGGGCUAGCGUUGCUCGGAAUCACUGGGCGUAAAGCGCACGUAGGCGGCUUUCUAAGUCAGGGGUGAAAUCCCGGGGCUCAACCUCGGAACUGCCUUUGAUACUGCAAAUCUCGAGUCCGGAAGAGGUGAGUGGAAUUCCUAGUGUAGAGGUGAAAUUCGUAGAUAUUAGGAAGAACACCAGUGGCGAAGGCGACUCACUGGUCCGGUACUGACGCUGAGGUGCGAAAGCGUGGGGAGCAAACAGG
rnacentral:rRNA from 1 species